rnacentral:rRNA from 1 species
UAAGUAAGCUUUGAUCCAGAGAUUUCCGAAUGGGGAAACCCAGCAUGAGUUAUGUCAUGUUAUCGAUAUGUGAAUACAUAGCAUAUCAGAAGGCACACCCGGAGAACUGAAACAUCUUAGUACCCGGAGGAAGAGAAAGAAAAUUCGAUUCCCUUAGUAGCGGCGAGCGAAACGGGAAGAGCCCAAACCAACAAGCUUGCUUGUUGGGGUUGUAGGACACUCUAUACGGAGUUACAAAGGACGACAUUAGACGAAUCAUCUGGAAAGAUGAAUCAAAGAAGGUAAUAAUCCUGUAGUCGAAAAUGUUGUCUCUCUUGAGUGGAUCCUGAGUACGACGGAGCACGUGAAAUUCCGUCGGAAUCUGGGAGGACCAUCUCCUAAGGCUAAAUACUCUCUAGUGACCGAUAGUGAACCAGUACCGUGAGGGAAAGGUGAAAAGCACCCCGGAAGGGGAGUGAAAUAGAACCUGAAACCGUGUGCUUACAAGUAGUCAGAGCCCGUUAAUGGGUGAUGGCGUGCCUUUUGUAGAAUGAACCGGCGAGUUACGAUUUGAUGCAAGGUUAAGCAGUAAAUGUGGAGCCGUAGCGAAAGCGAGUCUGAAUAGGGCGUUUAGUAUUUGGUCGUAGACCCGAAACCAGGUGAUCUACCCUUGGUCAGGUUGAAGUUCAGGUAACACUGAAUGGAGGACCGAACCGACUUACGUUGAAAAGUGAGCGGAUGAACUGAGGGUAGCGGAGAAAUUCCAAUCGAACCU